rnacentral:rRNA from 1 species
CUACGGGAGGCUGCAGGGAAUAUUGCACAAUGGAGGAAACUCUGAUGCAGCAACGCCGCGUGGAGGAUGACACUUUUCGGAGCGUAAACUCCUUUUAUAUAGGAAGAAGAUGACGGUACUAUAUGAAUAAGCGCCGGCUAACUCCGUGCCAGCAGCCGCGGUAAUACGGAGGGCGCAAGCGUUACUCGGAAUCACUGGGCGUAAAGAGCGUGUAGGCGGAUUAAAAAGUCAGAAGUGAAAUCCUAUAGCUUAACUAUAGAACUGCUUCUGAAACUCUUAAUCUAGAAUAUGGGAGAGGUAGAUGGAAUUUCUGGUGUAGGGGUAAAAUCCGUAGAGAUCAGAAGGAAUACCGAUUGCGAAGGCGAUCUACUAGAACAUUAUUGACGCUGAGACGCGAAAGCGUGGGGAGCAAACAGGAUUAGAUACCCGGGUAGUC